ensembl:snRNA U6 U6 spliceosomal RNA
GUGCUUACUUCUGUAGCACAUAUGCUAAAAUUGGAACAAUACGGAGAUUAGCAUGGCCCCUGCACAAUGACUUACGAAUUGGUGAAGCGUUCCUCCCCUCC